UGAAGCUCAGUGUUGUAUACGCAGAAAGUUUGUAAGCAAACCAGAAAUACCGAAUCUGAAAGACGUGUAGCGAACGCAAAGAUAUGGCAGCAUCAAAGACCACUCACGAGCGUCGCAUCGUUAAAAUUAAAGGGGAUUAUAGUUCAACAUGGCGACGACAGGACACCAACCUGUAAAGCCUUGACCACAGAAGAGAAUUUAAACGAAAUCAUAGAAAUUCUCCUUGAUUUUGAAAAACAUACAAGACCUGUAGAUACCAUUUCAGCAAGGUGCAUCUUGGAACCGAUUGUCCAGAUCAGUUUCGGAAUUAAGCCGUGGCACCUUAGCAAUGAAAAUAUCCUAAGCUAGAACUAACGAAGGAGCAAGCUAAAAUCUUUGGGUCUAAUAGUACCAACUGGUAUGGCAAAUGGGAGAGACCUCCACCCUGUCACGAGUUGUGGAUAUGAAUGUACAAAUCUGUGAAUAUUGGAUUUGAUACUCAGAACUGUUCCUGUUAGAAAGGUGCACAUGAAUUUGGUCUUUGUUUUUGUUAUUCUUUUUUACAUAAAAUAUUUUAUUUUCGAUCUAUGUUGGAGUGGAUCGAGGCUGAUGCAUACUUUCUUGUCAUAAUGCAAGAGAAAUAGGGUAAAGUUGCUGAAGCUGCAGACAUUCUCCAAGAACUUCCGUUCAAGACCAUUGAUUCUAUGGAAAAGCUAGAAAAUUGAACAGGUGGAGCUUAUCUUGAAACAAAUGAGAUUGUUUCUUCUGCAUCUGCACUCAGAUCAGGUUGAAAAAGAUAAGUGUCAGAUUUGUUUUUAGAGAAAGAUGUGCUCAGUCUUAAAUUGAAAUAUUUUCAUGUAGGAAUAGUUUAACAUUGUUACAUCUGUCAUAUUAAGCGUGGGAAGGGGGAGAGGAAAUGUUGGUGGAUUAUUCAUCGUUGUGUAGAUUCCUGAUGUUGACAAGAACAGGUAUUAUGUCUCUACAUUUGUUAACAUAAUCAAGCCAUGUACAACACAACAGUGAUCCUGGAGAAAGAGUUUCUGCAAUUGUUGGUUGUUGUCGAGGUGAUGUUUCGGUGACACGCUGUCAAUA